rnacentral:misc_RNA from 1 species
CUUUGUGAACCCCUUUAACCACCAAAAAUAAGAGUGAAAAUUGCAAUAAACAAAUAAAAAUCCAGAUUAGAAUGGCAUAAUAAACAUUGCCAUUGAGGAUUAAUAUUUUACCUGCACAAGCGAGCUCAUGUUUGCUUAGAGAAGAAAAUCAGAGGUUGGGGUGGAGGGUCGGCAGACAAAAGAGAAGGAGGAUCUACCGUGUGCAAAGAGGAGUGCAAGAGAUUUGACCUCGCACUCCCGGUACACGUAAGUGAAUGAGGGCGCAGCGUUAGAUUAUGAAAGGUGAAGUUUAGACUCUGUCGUACGUUUCCGUCAGCAUGCACUCCGAGGCUGCCGCGUAGAGCAGGAAAUUUCCAAGAAAUAGGAAAGGC